rnacentral:sRNA from 1 species
GCCAGGCAUGGUGGCGCAGGCCUGUAAUCCCAGUGGCUUUGGAGGCUGAGGCAGGAGGAUCCCAGUUUCAAAGCCAGCUUCAGCAACUUAGCAAGGCCCUAAGCAACUUCGAAAGACCCUGUCUCAA